CCACAGUGUGAUUGAAAUGUCCUGUGAAAUUGCAGUGUAUCAGCCAAUUCUGAAACCCGACACCUUCAGGAAGUGUUCUGCGAUAUUGUUUCUGAUUGUGUGGAAUAAAAUAUGGUCUCGAUUUGACAAGGAGAGAUUAAACUGUGACAAUCCUCUGCCACUCCACCUGUGCCUUUGAUUUGGAAACAUCCAUCUCUUUCAUGAUGAUUCCUGUAUGAAACAUUGAGAUGAGUUCAUCGGCCCACAGUAGAAAUCAGCAGAAGCACUCGACUCCUGUUUAGAUAUAAGGCAUGUCCCACCACCUCGUGAAUCUUUUAGCAACUUGGAAAGCAGAGAAAGGAUGUAAAAUCUUUCCA